GGGACGAACGCUGGCGGCGUGCUUAACACAUGCAAGUCGAGCGGAAAGGCCCUUCGGGGUACUCGAGCGGCGAACGGGUGAGUAACACGUGAGUAAUCUGCCCCUAGCUCUGGGAUAGCUCCGGGAAACCGGGAUUAAUACUGGAUACGACCACCUUAGACAUCUUUUGUGGUGGAAAGAAUUUCGGCUAGGGAUGAGCUCGCGGCCUAUCAGCUUGUUGGUGGGGUAACGGCCUACCAAGGCGACGACGGGUAGCCGGCCUGAGAGGGCGACCGACCACACUGGGACUGAGACACGGCCCAGACUCCUACGGGAGGCAGCAGUGGGAAUAUUGCGCAAUGGGCGAAAGCCUGACGCAGCGACGCCGCGUGGGGGAUGAAGGCCUUCGGGUUGUAAACCCCUUUCAGCAGGGACGAAGCGAAAGUGACGGUACCUGCAGAAGAAGCGCCGGCUAACUACGUACCAGCAGCCGC
rnacentral:rRNA from 1 species